UAUCAAUAUAUUCAAUCCAACAACGCUUUAAAAUAAAAAGCAAGGAUCACAAGAUGUCUCUUUGAAUUGGAAAAUAAAUUACUCCGACAAUUCUCCUUCCAUGAAAUAUGAAUCUGUCAGCAUAAAUGAACAUAUUUUCCUAUUCCCUUUCAAUGUGGAAAAAUUAAAAAUAUUGAAAAGGAAAAGAACUAAACAACAGGCUGCAAAAUGAUCAUAAUUAAUGAGCCGGCAUUAAAUAUACAAUUUGGACAAAGACCAAAUCACAAGGAUCAGAAUUUCUCAUUUAAUUUCUCUAGUUUGAGUGAUCAAAACUUCUGGGCGAGUAAAAAAAAAUUUUCUACAGCCUAUGAAAGUGUCAACCUUUGAAUUGCAACACCAUUUCGAGCAGCUGAAAUUCGUCCCCAUCUUCCAAGUCGAGGCUCCUGCCCAACUCCAGCAACAAGGAACUUUCCAGAUUUUGAAAAAGCCAGUGAAUUCACAAACCCAACCAAUGGAAGAUCAUAUAGGGGUUUAAUGCCUUUGGGAGCACUUUCAACAGUCCAUAAGCGAACAGAACCACUACCAGCGCCUGAUGCUGCAAGAUCACUGCCUCUACAUACAGCGACUGAACUUACCCAGGAACAUGCUAGAUAACCAUUAAACAUACUUCCAUUUUCUUUUUGUUCAAAAUUUUUGAAGUCAGUCAACAUAGCAUGAGCAUUCUUAACAAUGUACACAGGCUUCUUUUUUUGGACGCUCCAGAGCUCAAUAUUUCCAUCAUCGGAACCAGAUAAAAAUUCAUCAUUAUCAAUAAAACAACAACAUUCCAGAGAGGAUGCAGAAGCACGAAAUAUCAACCUUGACUCCUCUGGGACCUUGAAUAAUUGCAUAGUCCGAUCACGUCCUGUCGCUAACACCCGUUCUUUCCGCAAGCAAUCAACUGUUAAUACUUCACUUUGGUGACCAAACAAUGUGCUUAUAUAAGCUCUGUCUUCCACAUUCCAUAUUUUGAUUGAUCGAUCAAAAGAACCAGAAAAAAGUUCUGAAGUCCCUUGCCUAAAAGUUAGGCAUGACACAGGCCCUCUGUGACCUGGAAAAGCCUACAAAUAGAUAAUAAAUGAAGAUACCGAGUGAGAACAUGACUUCCAACAUUCCUUAACUAUGCUCUUGACAGCAUAAUGUCAGUAUCAUAUCAGACAACUUAACAUCACAGGACAAGAUCAUCCAGGAUGCUGCAGUCUGUAAUGCAUGCAGGAGGUAGCAAUAAAUUAAAUUGUCUAGGUACAAAGGUGCUACAGGGUAUAUCUACGUGCCAGAACACAGUAAACUUUUCCAGAUUUCACCCUAUGCGUGGUGCACUUAAGUUGAUGCAUUCAGGACCUUGUCAGUGCAAUAGGGCUUUUACUCUCACACAGUUAAUUGCCCCAUUUGUCUGACAGGACAUCCAGAUCCCUCCAGCCAUGUGCAUAUAAGUGUAGUUUUUAAAGGCAAACCAAAAGGUUGAAAAAACAGUGCACAUUCUCAAAAAAGUAAGAAAUAAACAAAUAUUUCACCUGAAUAUGUUCUCUCGUUCGUGUGUCCCAUACAUGAACAUGCCUAUCUAAUCCUCCACUUGCUAAAUACUUACCAUCAGUGCUAACAGCCAAUGAUAAAACCUGUUUGCUAUGCUUUGUAGCUUUACCAUCAGGACCCUUGGCUCCAUGAAGUCUGAGUGUUUCUUCAUUAGGCCAAUGGUACUUCUCACCUUUCCCAGUAUCUACAUCCCAAUAUAAAAUUGUGCCAUCUUUGGAAGCAGAAAAGCCCUUUGAGUCAUCAUCAGAUAGACAUACAGCAGUAACAGAAUGCCGAUGCUUCAAUAGGACCUCAAAUCCACUAUCAGGCUUCUCAACCCUGGAAGCUAUAACUCUUCUCAAUCGUCCACUCUCCUCGAGCUGCUCCUGGAUCAACUUCUUAACCACAAGGGAAUCCCUCUCCCCUUCCUUCUCAAACUCUCUCUCUUCCUCUUUGUCUCUGUGUUUUCCUCGCUUUUGCUGUUCUGUUUUGAUUGAAUAAACCAAUUGCUUCUGCUGAAAUUUGAUUGACUUGGGUGCUCCAGUGAGUUGACUGGAAGGGAAUCACUGAAAAAGAGGUUAACUGGGUUUUGUCCCAAAAAGGAUUCUGUGACGAAGUUUUUCCACUUUUCUAUGUUGAUCGCUUCAUGAAUUGAAGUUUUGAAAUGUUUAUCGUACAAUUUGCGAAAAAGGAUUACUCUAUGAAGCUGGAUGAAGUGAUUAAGCUAGAUAAGAUUUUAUAAUUUUUGAGGCUUUAGGAUUAUUAAGUGUUCAAUUUCAAAUUUUGGUGUUGGGAUGGGCUGCGAGUGUUCGAAGCUCUCCGCCUGUUGUUGGACUUCUGAGUUUGAUGGAUCAAUUCCCGAGGGCCAAAAUGAGGAAAAUGAGGAGAGGAAGGAAGUUGAUGAGUUGCCUGCAUUCCGUGAAUACACCAUUGAGACGCUCAAGAUGGCAACAUCUGGAUUUGCUGUGGAGAAUAUAGUUUCUGAACAUGGGGAAAAGGCUCCCAACGUGGUUUAUAGGGGUAAGUUUGAGAAUCAGAGGAGGAUAGCCGUAAAACGAUUUAAUAGAUCUGCUUGGCCUGAUGCCAGACAGUUUUUGGUAAGUGAAGCAUAUCAUUUUCUAAAUUCCCCAAUUCAAUGGCUGUAGCAGCUAUUUUUUCUUUAAUGCACUUCAUACAUAUGAUCACUAGUUAUUCACAUAUGGAAUUUGAUAGGUGCUUGACUUUGACAUUCUAUAACUUUAGGAAGAAGCAAGAGCUGUUGGUCAGCUUCGGAACCAUAGGCUGGCAAAUUUACUUGGUUGUUGCUGUGAAGGGGAUGAGAGGCUACUUGUUACAGAAUUUAUGCCCAAUGAUACAUUAGCAAAACACUUAUUUCACUGUAAGUUUGUUUUUUGGUUUCUUUGCUGGAGCUUUAACAUUUGGUCUGUGUUAUUUGAGGGUUCGUAACUCACAUACUUCAUAAUUGAACAAUAAUCCAGGUUCUGUCGAUUGCAGAUGGAUGGUUAUUUUACUUUCUAAUUGAUAUGUAAUCACUUGUCCUCCUUAAAAUCUAAAUUUGUCUCUCAUUGAGUAUGAAUGUUUUGUGAUUCACUUUAUGGUAGAUUAUGGGGGUGAAUACAACAUACUUCUUAGAUAUUUAAGUUUUGCAAUGGGGGAAUAUUUUUUUGACUAUAGAUUUUUGUGGUACAUAUAUCUUGUGCUUCAUUUCUAUUGCUUUCUCUGCAUCUCAAUCUUUGUCUCUUGGCUUGUUUAGGGGAAACGCAACCAAUGAAAUGGGCAAUACGACUUAGGGUGGCUUUACAUAUAGCACAAGCUCUAGAAUAUUGUACUAGUAAAGGGCGUGCUCUGUAUCAUGAUCUGAAUGCUUAUAGGAUUGUUUUUGAUGAUGAGGGUAACCCUCGACUUUCAUGCUUUGGUCUGAUGAAGAACAGCAGAGAUGGAAAAAGUUAUAGUACAAACCUGGCAUUUACUCCUCCUGAGUAUCUGAGAACAGGGAGAGUAACACCAGAAAGUGUAAUGUAUAGCUUCGGUACCCUUUUGCUUGACCUCCUUAGUGGAAAACAUAUUCCUCCCAGCCACGUAAGUUUUCUCCUUGAUAGGAUCAAUUUGACAGAACAAUUUUAAAGUAUCUAUUAACUGGACUUCUUGUGCCUUUCAAAAGCGCAAAGUUUGCUCCAUAACCCUCAUACUCCAACAAGUAGGAGCGUUUAAUUUGAAUAUAAUGCGAUUUUCAAUUGUAAAUUCUUAACAUAAACAUAAAACUUUUAAGCCAGCUCUCUUCUCUAUCUCUCUAACCUAUUUUUCCUACUUGGCAUAUUGGAUGAUGGUAUGGUGUGCUAGUGGAGACUGGAAGUUUGGAUGGCUAGAGUAAUGUUCGUAUUAUUGAACAUGGAAGUACAAGGAGAGGCUUACUUACUAUAUCUUUCCGUCUUUGCUAAAGAAAAUUCCUCUACCCAUCCCCUCCCAUAAAGAAAAAGUUUGUUGUUGGGGUGGGGGGUGUUUGGCGGUGGUGGAGAGAGAAAAACCAAAUAAUAAUAAACAAUGGAAUGAUAAAAGGCUUUUUGAAAUAAGUAUCAUGUUAAAACAAACAAAUUCUGGUGGUUAGUCCUCAGUGUAGUUCUGGUAUGAAUAGGGUUGGGCUAUUUGGCAUUACUUACAUUAAAAUGGUCCUUGUAAUAUUGUGGUCCCAUUUGAUAAUGUGAUGAAUGAAAAGACUUCUGAAACUUAGGAGGAGAAUGACACAGCUUAGACUCGGUGGAAAUCAAGGAAACAAUAGUAAUUCCUUCCUUUCCAGGCAUUUUGAAAAGGGCAAUGGCUGAAAUUUGACUCCACAUAUCUUUGUUUCCUCAGCAUUUGUAAGUUGGGAAUUCAUUGUCGGAGAGAAUCUUUAAGUCUAGCAUGCUGCCUAAUCAUGAAGACUUGGGAAAUAUGCUAGUAAGGUUUAGAUGCUUCUGAGUAUACUUGAGGAAAUUCCUAAAAAGGUGUAAUGCCUCAAAGUAUUUGGACAUACACUUCCUUACCUUGCUCUGUCUUGAGGAGUGGAGGUGGGAGGGAGGAGGAGAAUUCACAAUUAUGAGAUAUUUACAUAUUACUGUUUACAUCUUUCUAUUGAUCAUAGCGAAAUUUUCUUAUUGGUGGAAGGGGUUCCAAUAUCAUGGAACCCUAUUUUUAAGAUUGUGUGUUUCAGAUAUAUUGAGUUGUUGAAGACAGCUCAUGUUCAAACAAAAUGACCCUAAAAAUCUAACCAGGAAAAGGAAAGAAAAAAAAAAUGAGAAAGAAACAAACCUGGUCUCGUUAGCAGAGCCAUUGCGAUGACUUUUUGAGGCUGAUUAUUAAUUGAUGAUGGUUAUAAGUUUGUUGAGGGCAUAACUACUUGUUGACAUCUUGCUGCUUUUGUAAUAUCAUCUUUUGAUUGGAUAUUGAAUUUUUUUGUAACUGAUGAGCCAUUAGAUUUGUUGGGUUCCCUAUCUCAUUAUGGUUGCCUUAAGCAUAAUCAUCUCCAGUUUUGUGCUGGAUGAUACAUUCUUAUCUUAUUGCACAAGAAGACUAUUAUAAUGACUGGUCUAAUGGGUGUUUCUAAUUCAUAGAAAAGUGACUAUGCAAACCUUGGUAUUGUAAAAUUGUCUUUUUUUCCUUUAUUUUCAUGGGUGAGGUGGAUUAUAGCUGGCUUGUUGGGGUUGAAGCCAACUGUCAAUGAUGAGAAAGAAAAAAAAAUGGGUGAAGAAAAGAAUGUAAAGCCAAGUAAGGGCCAGCUAAUUCCUUGUGUAGAAUAUCCAAAUGUGAUAUCUGACAUCAUCUGCCAAAAGAGAGCAGCCUAUAUGCUACAUACCUUUUGAUCAGAAAUAGACAUCCUGCUGUUUUUUUUGUUUCAUUUGAUGACAAGUUUAAAUUAUUUGUUUUGGAAGUUGUUCUGAUAGGAGCCUGACCAAGUGUAUUUUUAAGUUGGCAAUAUGAUCUCAUAAUUUUUGUUGUGUGGUAUUUAUCUGAAUUUUUAGGAUACACAUACAACUAAUGUCUAAUAUUAAGUUGCACUAUUUACUUUAGGCUUUGGACUUAAUAAGGGACAGGAAUAUUCAGAUGCUUACUGAUUCUUGCUUGGAAGGCCAAUUUACAAAUGAUGAUGGGACUGAAUUGGUCCGAUUAGCCUCUCGAUGUUUGCAGUAUGAGCCUCGUGAACGGCCAAAUCCAAAGUCAUUAGUUGCUGCAUUGAUUCCACUUCAGAAGGAUACUGAGGUUCCUUCUCAUGUAUUGAUGGGUAUACCAGAUGGUGCUGCACCUUUACCUUUGUCACCCCUCGGUGAGGCUUGCUUAAGAAUGGAUUUGACCGCCAUACAUGAGGUCAUAGAAAAGAUUGGAUAUAAAGAUGAUGAGGGUGCGGCUACUGAGCUCUCAUUCCAAAUGUGGACCAAUCAGAUGCAGGAAACAUUAAAUUCAAAGAAAAAGGGUGAUGUUGCCUUCCGGCAUAAAGAUUUUAGAGCUGCCAUUGAAUGCUAUUCCCAGUUCAUUGAGGUUGGAACCAUGGUUUCUCCAACUGUCUAUGCACGCCGAAGUCUAUCUUAUCUUAUGAACGAAAUGCCACAGGAAGCCCUUAAUGAUGCAGUGCAAGCCCAAGUAAUAUCCCCUAUUUGGAAUAUUGCAUCCUAUUUACAGGCAACAGCUCUUUUUGCAUUGGGAAGGGAGAGUGAGGCACAAGCAGCUCUUAAAGAGGGAUCAACACUUGAAAAUAACAAGACAACAAAUGCUUGAUGAUAGAAAAUGAUGAUGCUCAAUAAAGCUGUUCUUUAAUUGCUCUUCCUUGAGAUGACCACCAAGGGCAAACACAAGCUUAAUUUUGAGCUGAUCAAGUGUUGUUAAGCCUCACAGUGAACCUUCGUGUGGGCCAUAAAUGGUCCCCAUCUUCUGCAUGUGAUUGGUUGUCAUCUUGAAGAAUUCUUUCCAAAAAUUAUUGGAUGGGUAGGUUUUUGUCAGUGCUGGGUAUUUGCCAUAUUGGGACACUCAUUCACAUAUGAACAAUCUACCCUGGUUUCUGUUUGCUGACCUUUUCCAAUACACCAAUCUAGGGAAAUAAUAAAGACAAUCGUGGGAUAGAUUACAUGUUUGUAGAGGGAUUCAGGCAUUCAGCUCUUGUUUAAAGUUGCAUUUAGAGCGUGAAUGGAAGUCUCUGCGAUCCUUGUAAUUUAUGUACAGUGCUAUUGGUUGUGGUUGCUGAAGGUGAGGUGAAAUGGGCUUUUUAUUUCUUGGUAUGCUGUUGCGAAGUUUGUGAAUUAAUAUUAUUGCUUUCCAUUCGAGUCUUACGCUAUUUGAUUUUUUUUUUGUUUAAUUUUUUUUUAUGGUGUAAGUUUAGGCAAGGAGAGCAGUGGCUGCUGCAACCUGCAAGUUCUUUUGUCUAUAGCUGAAAUCUUUCUGUUUGCUGCCUGUGGAUGAGCUGGAAAAAUGUUUUGAACUACUAACCCCUGAGCUGUAGCUCAAUGAAUCCAUAUUAAUGUCUACUGCUUUCCUUGUCCUACUCUACAGUCCCCAGCUUUUCAAAGCUUUAGCUGCAAAUUAAACUUGCAACUUCACAUUGUGGAAUAAUGCUCCCUGUUAAAAUGAUGACGGAGAUAAAAGUGAGCCAACGCAAUAAGAAACUCUGUUUCUUUGAACCUUCAAGAGCUAUUUUUCUGAGAAAUUAUGAGAUAGUGAUUUGUU
rnacentral:misc_RNA from 1 species